UACGGAGGAUGCAAGCGUUAUCCGGAAUGAUUGGGCGUAAAGCGUCCGCAGGUGGCUGUGUAAGUCUGCUGUUAAAGAGUGAGGCUCAACCUCAUAAGAGCAGUGGAAACUACACAGCUAGAGUGCGUUCGGGGCAGAGGGAAUUCCUGGUGUAGCGGUGAAAUGCGUAGAGAUCAGGAAGAACACCCGUGGCUAAGGCGGCUCUCUAGUACGGUACUGACGCUGAGACGCGAAAGCGUGGGGAGCGAACAGG
rnacentral:rRNA from 1 species